rnacentral:misc_RNA from 1 species
GUAGGAGCCGGCUUGCUGGCGAUCCAGGCGACGCGGUGUAACUGACGCACCGCGCCGAUCCUAUCGCCAGCAAGCCGGCUCCUAC